AUUGAACGCUGGCGGCAUGCCUUACACAUGCAAGUCGAACGGCAGCGCGGACUUCGGUCUGGCGGCAAGUGGCGAACGGGUGAGUAAUACAUCGGAACGUACCCUGUUGUGGGGGAUAACUAGUCGAAAGAUUAGCUAAUACCGCAUACGACCUGAGGGUGAAAGUGGGGGACCGCAAGGCCUCACGCAGCAGGAGCGGCCGAUGUCUGAUUAGCUAGUUGGUGGGGUAAAGGCCCACCAAGGCGACGAUCAGUAGCUAGUCUGAGAGGACGAUCAGCCACACUGGGACUGAGACACGGCCCAGACUCCUACGGGAGGCAGCAGUGGGGAAUUUUGGACAAUGGGGGCAACCCUGAUCCAGCAAUGCCGCGUGUGUGAAGAAGGCCUUCGGGUUGUAAAGCACUUUUGUCCGGAAAGAAAUCGCGCUGGUUAAUACCUGGCGUGGAUGACGGUACCGGAAGAAUAAGCACCGGCUAACUACGUG
rnacentral:rRNA from 1 species